AACGAACGCUGGCGGCAGGCUUAACACAUGCAAGUCGAACGAACCCCUCGGGGUGAGUGGCGCACGGGUGAGUAUCGCGUGGGAACCUGUCCCGAAGUAAGGAAUAACCAUGGGAAACCGUGGCUAAUGCCUUAUAUUCCCUCAGGGGGAAAGAUUCAUCGCUUCGGGAGGGGCCCGCGUCGGAUUAGGUUGUUGGUGAGGUAAAGGCUCACCAAGCCUACGAUCCGUAGCUGGUCUGAGAGGACGACCAGCCACACUGGGACUGAGACACGGCCCAGACUCCUACGGGAGGCAGCAGUGAGGAAUCUUGGACAAUGGGCGAAAGCCUGAUCCAGCCAUGCCGCGUGAGUGAAGAAGGCCCUAGGGUUGUAAA
rnacentral:rRNA from 1 species